rnacentral:lncRNA from 1 species
AUGAAACUAAACUGACCGGAACAAACACAGGAAGCCGAAGUGUGACACAGGCCGAACCGCGAGCAGCGGCCACAGGCACGAACAGCCGCUAAUUAACGGAAAGCUCGGCUCGGCUCGGUUGCGUAGGAACAGAACCACCAGAGUCUCUGAGGAGCAAGAGACGCGCGAUGAGUUGACGAGGACCCGAUCUGCGCCCAAAUCAAAGUUACAAACCUCCACGAACGUGGCGUCUCGCGCUCGUCGAGCUGUUGCUGCAGGUGUUCGGAAUGAGUUGAUGAAGAACCGUUUACUCACAUGUGAAACUCCUGCGUUAAGCUGCGGGUCGGUCUCUCCUUCACACCGUCACCGCUCAGCGCUGCCAGGUCCCAUCCGGACUCCAGGCGCAAAGUGGCGGAUCCAUGAGCGGCAAACUCCGCGGCGCAAACAAAUUGAAAAGUGUUGAGUGAAAUUUUCGAUGAAAUUCAAGACGGCUUUGACGCUCGUGGGUGUUUAAUCCAAGCAGAGGGGCGUCGGUAAAUAAGGGAAGGGUUCUUGAGUCCAGCCGGGAGGGGAAAGUGCGCACCGGGCGGCUUCACCGCGUCUGCCGCGCUUCCUCCCGCAUCUCAGCCGCUUUAAUCCUCCAGAUGCGGCUCCAGCUUUUCUUUAAUUCCCCCUUUAAUCCCGAAAACACGCCCGUCUACCUUAGGAGACGUAAGGUUUCAUUCUUCUCCAGGAGGAAACAUUUGAAGGAAAGUGCGAAGUUUGGCGUCAGACUGGAGCGCGGCGACGGCGGGACUGAGCGCUCAGACUCCCUUCAUCCCCGCCGCUUGAUCGCCCCGUGGACGCGCGGGGAGAGAGAGUGGGAGAGAAAGAGAGAAAGGGGAGCUGGAAACAAGGGGAGUAUCGCGAGGUUACGACUCAAGUCCCGCGGAGACACGCGCACACGCACGUUCAAAAACAGUUUAAGAGACAGGAUGGACUGUGCCGUUAUUAACACAUACACAUUCACUGUAAAGCUGUUGGUCUUUAGACCCAGCGCCAAACUUUUCAACACAGCAGAAGUUCGUUGUUGUCUCCUCAUGUGUUCACUGCGGUUCUGGUUCUGAUCAGACCUGAACCAGGUGAAUAUUCUGGUUCCUCCCACACAGACUAACACACUUCUCCUGCUCCAGCAGGUCCAGGUUUCCCGUGAGCCUGAACCGGAGUCUCCCCCUUGUGUUCGUCACCAGCUGUAAGAAGUUCGGCUCAACACAUCAACGGUCGCGUCCGAUCUCCACGUCGUAACCUUUAGUUUUCAUUGUAUUUAAGGAACCUAAGACACGUUAGAGCUCUGCAGCCGCUGCUCAGCUGUUUCUGAGGCCAGGGGUUAAAUCCGCCGGCAUGCGACACAUGAUCCUUAUCAGCCUGUGUGAAGCUGGACACCUGUCGGCGUGGGCUCCGUCCACGAAGCCAAACUGACACCAGCACCAGGCCCGCGGGGCACUGGAGGCUCCGGACCAGCAGACCGGGACCGAGAAACCAGAACGACCCGGAGACGGAACGAGGCGAAGAAAACGGCUCAUUUACUGGACAAAACGUCCCAGACUCAUAUGAAGGCGGUGUUUAAAAUGAAUGGAACAAAUCAGGAAGCUUUCAGGAGAGGAGUCAGUUUAUUACAGUCGGACUUUCAUUAGUUUCAUAAUAAACCAAAACACACAAACA